rnacentral:rRNA from 1 species
UACAGAGGGCGCGAGCGUUGUCCGGAAUCACUGGGCGUAAAGGGCGCGUAGGUGGCGGCAUAAGGCCGUGGUGAAAGUCUGGGGCUCAACCCCAGAUCGGCCAUGGCGACUGUGUCGCUAGGGUACUGUAGAGGCAGGUGGAAUUCCGGGUGUGAGCGGUGGAAUGCGUAGAGAUCCGGAAGAACACCAGUGGCGGAAGGCGGCC